ACGAGCAGCGAAGAAUGGAGAGAACCGCUAACGACAGUCCGCUGUUAGCCUGAAACAUCAGUCACAACACCGAGAAACCUUUACACAAAGCUCCGGACAGCCGUGCACAUUUCAGGUGUGACAUAUACAGAAGCUGUGUCCUCGUCUGGAUUUAUAACAGCAAAGGUGAGCCCGCUGUGUUUGUUUGGGGUCUUUCACCUUCUCCUUCCUGUGACAGAUGUUGAGGCCAGAGAUCAGCCUGUCCUAACAACUGUUAGAGGUGACAGGGUGAGGACAGGAGGAGUGUCGGUCAGCUGUGCCAGGUUUUGUCUCAUGAGAGUCACUGUGCCAUCCAGGCACUGCCAGUGACCAGGGCUGUGGCUGUGGAGGGCCCGGCCCAGGAGGCCUUUUUGUACAUCACUCCGGGCUCCUGCUGACCUGUGCUGCUCACACCAUGGAUCAACAGAGGGAUAAAUAUGGCGAGCGGCCUGCCAGGAGCACUAAAGUUUCACAGGGAAGCCGCAGCGGACACUCGUCCCGACCAUCCGGCUCCUCCAGCUCAUCCGGGGUUCUAAUGGUGGGGCCAAACUUUCGUGUGGGCAAGAAGAUCGGCUGUGGAAACUUUGGUGAAUUGAAGCUUGGUAAAAAUCUCUACACCAACGAGUAUGUAGCUAUUAAACUGGAACCAGUGAAGUCGAGGGCACCACAGCUGCAUUUAGAGUACCGGUUCUACAAAACACUGGGAACUACAGCUGAAGGCGUGCCCCAGGUGUUCUACUUUGGGCCCUGUGGGAAAUACAACGCCAUGGUUCUGGAGCUGCUGGGACCAAGUCUCGAGGACCUGUUCGACCUUUGUGACCGGACCUUUUCACUGAAGACUGUCUUAAUGAUAGCUAUUCAGCUGAUUUCUCGAAUGGAGUAUGUGCACUCUAAAAACCUCAUCUAUAGAGAUGUCAAACCUGAAAACUUUCUCAUCGGACGGCAAGGGAACAAGAAGGAACACAUCAUCCACAUCAUUGACUUUGGUCUGGCCAAAGAGUACAUCGACCCGGAGACCAAAAAACACAUUCCAUACAGGGAGCAUAAGAGCCUGACUGGCACUGCCCGAUAUAUGUCUAUCAAUACACAUUUAGGCAAAGAGCAAAGCCGGCGAGAUGACCUUGAGGCCUUAGGCCACAUGUUCAUGUAUUUCCUUCGUGGGAGUCUACCAUGGCAAGGACUGAAGGCCGACACAUUGAAAGAGCGAUACCAGAAGAUUGGAGACACCAAACGAAACACUCCCAUCGAGGUCCUCUGUGAGAACUUCCCAGAGGAGAUGGCCACCUACCUGCGAUAUGUGAGACGGUUGGACUUCUUUGAAAAGCCGGACUAUGAAUAUCUGCGGACUCUGUUCACUGAACUGUUUGAGCGGAAAGGAUACACCUUCGAUUACACUUACGACUGGGUGGGCCGGCAGAUACCCACACCAGUGGGGUCUGUCCACAUAGACUCAGCAGCAUCGGCUGUGACGAGAGAGAGCCACCCUCACAGAGACCGGCCCUCACAGCACCCACCGAUUAGAAACCAGACAGCAGCCUCAGAUCGACGAGGAGCAUGGGAGGUGCAGCCCACACGCCAAGCAAACUCCUCCUAUCUGACCUCCCACCUGGCAGCGGACAGGCACGGGGGCUCAGUACAGGUAUACACCCCUCACCUGUUCAACCACACCCCCCACCUGAUCUCUAUGGAGUCAGAUCUGUCUCAUAGGAUCAAAUCUAGUAUAAGAAAAGUCAGAAACCUAACACAGGUGCGUCACUUUUGUGUGUUGAACCAUUUUCAAAGCAGCAGAUGGCGACUUCUAUUUAAAACAAAAAACUGUUGGUCAUAUUUGCAGAAACUGUUACUAUAUCCUGAUGGUAGUGUAUGAGAAAAAUGAUAACAUAAUAAUAAUAAACCAAUCCGAGCCGAGGAGUCUGUUACGCUGUGUCAAUCACACUGAUCAAACUGCUCAACUAGACUGUGGCACUCAUUUGAUUAAAAAGAGCACCAGCCAUUUUUUAUCAUGGCAGCCGGUUUAAAAAGGGGGGGCAUUAUCUUUCUAGUGCUAUACUGUCAGGAUAUAGUGACAGUUUGAAAAAAUAUGAAAAAGUUACUAAGUGGUGAUUCUGCAUUAUUAAGGCAGAUUUGAGUUAAUUACUGACAUUCAGACAUACUCUCCAGGUCAUGCAGAAUAAAUGAAGGUGCCCUUUCAUCUCUUUAAAAAUGUUUUAUUCAUUUCCAUAAAACAGAUAACAGGACACAACGUUUAUUUUGUAUUUUAGCCUGGCAUGUGAGACAGAUCUACAACCAUAAACUCCCCCCCCCCACCCCCCCUUUUAGCCCUGGCUGGGAAAUGUUAUUUUUUUCUGCUCCACCAUAUGCAUGUCAUCUGGUGCCAUCCACCCCAGUUGGAGAAAAUGUGAUGAGGCUUUAUGAACAGCAGGCCUGGUGGUCAUCGCGCUUGGACAUUCCUUGCAGAUCAAGAAGCACUUUUGCAUGGCAGGGCGACCUGGCGCAGCCCGCUAAGUGCAUGCUCUUUAGUCGAAAAGGGUCAUUGAACAUUAAGGAACACUCUGGUGUCGUUUUGACUACCAGCCAUUACCCAAGACAACAAGCUCUGUCUGCAUAGGUGUGUACAGUGUAGGCUACAGUAGAUUUCUGGCAUUUCUGCUUAAUGAAAUUCACUCCUUCCUUCCUUCAGCAGAUGAUUUUUGUACUUUUUUUGCAUCAUGAAUGGAAUUGAAUGGUUUCAAAUAGCUGAGAAUCUCAUAGGUGUACACUGAGCACACCUAUGCACAAAAAACACACAUUUUUGAGAUAACUUAUGCAUUUCUUCUACAGGUGAAUGGGACGACCACCAAUAGCUUUGCAUACUGUAGUUUGUCUGCUGGUGGCAGUUUGGUGUCAUAUCUUUCAUUCAUGUAUUUUUAAUUUUGCAAAGGGUUUAUACUUUUUCAGAUUUCCUCUACACUGGCAUACAGACUGGAAUGGGAAUUUCAAAAACUAUUUUAAUUGUGUUCAUAUCAUAAAAUAUUCCGAAAUUUGCUUGAAAUCACUGCAACGGUAUGCAGUGGCUAUAUAUAGAAAAAUGUAAGCAAGAAAAAUGUUUGUGUUUUAUUCAUGUGAUUUUGUGUUUCCAUAGAGCAAACAAUCAAAGUAAAGUGAUUUGGUAAAGUAACAUGUAGUGUUUAACCAGAGGAAGUCUCCAUCACAGCAGGACCGGUGGUUCACGUUGAUUCUGGCCCGAACAUCUCUGUUAGUUAUUAUGAACUAACACGUGUCUGUGUCACAGGUGGUCAGCUCGACCAACGGGGAGCUGAAUGCAGACGAUCCACUGACGGCUCAUUCCAACGCUCCCAUCACAGCUCAGGCAGAGGUGGAAGUGGUUGACGAGGCCAAGUGCUGCUGUUUCUUCAAGCGAAAACGGAAGAAGAACACGCCGAGGCAUAAAUGAUCCUCCACUACCGACCUGAAACGAGUGUCCCGCUCAGUUGAUUUUGAUUUCAGAAAUCAGUAAGGUCCCAUUCAGAAUAAAAAGGGGAGAAAGGUCUUGAUUGAAUUGUCCUCUGGAGGGGCCCGUUAAAAAUGGCUUGUUGAAUGGACAAGGCACUUGUGUCCUUUGAUGGGAGUCCUCUUUUAUUUUUUUCCUCCUACAUUUGUUGGAAUGUUUUGCCGGCCAGUCAUCCAAACGAGGAACCUUUUUGUUUGAAUUUUGCAGAGGAAUAUUUUUAUUUUUUCUCCCCUCCGAGCAUUCAUACUUUUUUUUUUUUUUUUUGGCUGAUGUUGGCUCCUGUUUCUCUUCCAUGGUAUUGCAAAGGAAGAGACAGAUCUUCCCGUGGAGUUUUGCCACCUUCAGCCGGUUGCAUACUGUCAUUAUUUUGUUUGUCCCACAAAAUCAUGUCUUCAUUUCCCAUCUGUCAAGUCCCAGUUCAAAAGUGGUUUUAGUUUGCUAACUCAUUUUGAAUCGAUGCCCUUUUUGGUCAUUCCUGACGUGGGACUGAAUGUAAACCCGAACACACAAGGAGCCAAGAGUGUAACUGCCUAUCUUCAGGCACAAAGAGCAUCAGUCAGCCAUUUUGCCCCUGCACUUUUUUCCUCCAAAGAGGUCAACCUUGGAACUGGGACCCGGGGCCUGAGAGGACAGAAGCCCAGAGACGCCUCCUGCACUGUGUUCUCUGAGAAGGACUUCUGCUCACGCUGCUUGGUUAAAGCGCUCUCCUUAACCACGCCGCUAAAAACACACUACAGUCUCUUUUGACUCACAUGCAGUCUUGCUCCUGUCGGCUUUGUGAUAACGAGCAGCAACCUGACACUUGUACAUGGGGCUUAAAAACAAUAUGCUAUUUAUGCUAUUUAUCUCAUGGUUGCCACCUGUUUUCUUACUUAAAAACAUACACACUGAAUGUAUGGACGGAAAUGCAAAUUACUUUGGAGCAUUUAUAGAAUCUUUCAUGCGCAUGGGAAGGAAAUUGCAAUUUAGGAUUUAAGACCAAUGUUAAAAAAAGGAAAAAAGUUUGACCAAAACUAAGUGGAUUAUCUUAAUAAUGUGAUGGUAAAAUUGGACACUUCACCAGAAGACACUGGGGGAUGUUGCUUUGGAGUGACAAGAGAAACUGGUGUGAGGAGAUUGAUUCACAGCCGCUCAACGCUACUGUCCAAUGCCUUAACCCCCACCCACCAACCUGUCCCGCAUCACAUCACCAGUUGGAUGAACGAGUACAGCAUGAUGGUUGUGUGACCUGCAGCGCAACUUUUCGGGGUCUCCUGUAUAGUAAAGCCCAAAGUUGCGGACUGUUCGCCAACUAGUAUCAGAGCAGUUAAUGAAUUCCCUUGCAACACGUAGGAUGUAUUCCCAAGAGAGAGCGAUGCCAAAUGAAAGGUUUGGUGAAAUAAUCUGUAUUAACACGUCCCUGCCCCUGCGUUUCCAGUCUGAAGACCCCUGUGCUGCAAAGCCAUGUUUUGAGUUUGGAUAACUCUGCUGAACCCCCGGUCCCUCUCCACUGUCAGCGGGGGCGAUAAAAUAACAUGCCCAUACCAUUUUUAAUUUAGUGUCAUGGAGGACUGCCUUGAAACAAUAUCCUCGAUAUGUCACCUUGCCUAUCCUCCUAACAGAGAGAAUUACCGUACAUAGGUGUUUUAUUUUUUUAUUUUGUAUCUUGCUAAUGUGAAGUUGUUGAAAGCAAUUUUUUUUCAUUCCAAAUAGCCAUGGUUUUAUGGGGAAAGAGGGUUUUAAAAAAAAAAAGCUUGAGACCAUGACUGCACUACAUUUGUUGACUCAGCUUUCCCUGACGAGACCCUGCCUUCUUAAUACUGAACUUUAAACGUGCUUAUUACUUUAAUUGUAGCUGCCUCAGCGUGCUAGGCUUUCCUUAUAGGGUGCAGGGAAUACACUUUAAAUUGACUUUCAUCCCCACGACUCCUUUGUUGUGCCAUGCCACCUUCCUACUUCCUCUCUGCACACACACAAACGCAUGCAUACACACACACACACACACACACACACACACACACGAAAGUCCUUGAUGAAUCUGCUCAUGGCGGAGUGUUAGAUUUGGCGUUUUGUGGACCUGCUCCAUCAUCUUUGGAAAUACAAUGUUGUAGAUGUUGCAGACUUUCUCAAUGAAUCAGUAUGUAAACCUGCUUGUUGCGUGUAUUUACACUGUAUAGCUUUUGGUUUAUUCUCAGCCCUGAUAUGUCAGUUACUCCGGGGUCUAAGUUAUUGUGUUAUUGAAAGUACUUGAAUAUGAAAAUCUACGGGACCUUUUUAUGUUUUGUUUUUUUUUUUACAUUUUCUUGGUCAUUUUCAUAGUAAAUCCAUACAUUUUGAGGGAGUUUGAGGGGAAUGCUGGGUAAAAUGGGCUAUUUGAAUGACAGGUAUUCAUUUCCUUGAGAUGUCUUUAGUGCCUCGUGAGUGUGUUGGACACGUGUCAGACUGUGGAGUCCUGUGCCAGUGUUGGGUUCAUGUUUUACCCAGAGGAGUUGGAUGUUGGAUGGAGGUUUAAAAUCACGCUUUUGUUUCCGUGAAAUAUUAACCGUAAUGUAUUCUGAUCCAUUAAAAUCCUUUAUUUGUUCCAACACUAAACCUGUGACAUCUGCAGCCUGUUAUUGUCCCCACAAAGCAUCAGGACUGUUUCACUCCAGCUACCUGUUAAAAAAUGGAAGUAUUUCUGCGUAGUGAGAUGGAUAUCAAGACUAUAGUAGCCUUCGACGUUCCCCCUGAAUUCCCCGAGUGCCAUUCCUGAGACUACUAAUAGCCCAUGCCUUUUACCCGUGCCAGGAAAAUAUGAAGUUGAAUGUUUUUUUGACCAUCGCACUCCACCUUGUGUCCUUGACAUGUUCACUGUCAUUUUGAAAAACCCCAGAGCAACGUGGCUCAAUUCAGUACCAGGAAGUGUUUUAAAGGUUGUUUAAAGUGUCAGAAAAAAAGUGUUUUAUGAUUAGCUUCUGUUGGUUUCUCUCUUAAUGUUGAAACCAACAGCAUUUUGUCGACAAAGUUUAUUAUUUCAGAGUUGGAUUUGUGACCGGUCGUCUUCGCAGCAUCUGCUUCUUCCUUAAACUAUGGGUCCUGGCUGAAAUGGUAGAUAUAGAAAUAUUACUCUGAUGUAUUUACUUUUUUCUUUCUGGGCCUAGUACAGAGCGGUAUAGGAGUACUCUGUGUGUUUUGUAUCUGCAUGGCUUACCUGGAGACGACAGCGAGCGUACUGUCUUGAGUUUCUCACCUGUAGGGCUCGUAUACUGUUGGGUCACUGAGACGUUAUGGCUUCCAGUCCUCAUAUAAUAUAAAUAACAUUAAUGUCUUCUCACAGCACAUUCCAUUUCAUUUCUCAUUAUUUCUGGUAUUCACUUCCAUCAGACUUGUGUUGAUGGCUCUGGUUGUGUGUAAGUCACAUUACUGUGUCAAAGCUGUGUAAAUCAACGCAAUGGACAGAUAACGUGUGAAUGAAUGGCUUCGGUCUUUAUGGGUUCUCUGGCACUUUUUCCUUGUUGCUGUACUUAAGGAUUGUCUUGGAUUUACUGUAUAUUUUUCUUUGAGGGAGAGGUUUAAGGUAACAUUUAUUGCAAUAUUGUGAUGAUUAUUUGAAAAUUGUAAAUUGUACAGAGUUCACAAUUAUACUCUUUGUUCUUUUUGUUGGGAUUCCAUAUAAAAUAUGUAUUCUUUGAUUAUUAUUUUUCUCUCAGACUGUGGAAAAUCAAAUUGUACAGCUUCAAGAGUUUAUCCUCCCCUCAGCAUUUUUUUUGCAGAGCUAUGAUUAAGAGAAAUCUUAAAACUGUAAAUAAAUAUUAUUGUGUUGAAAUAUGAAUGUCACUUCAAAAUGUAUUUGAAUGAGUUUGUUAAGGGCUUCAAGAACGAAGGACCGAUAUUUCUCCUUUUUUAUGGUUUCAUACUUUUAAUUUGCAGAAAGGUAAAGGUCCUUUUUUAACUAAGAUGCCUUUUGUUUUUUGUUUUCUCCUUGGAUUCAUAUAAAACAAAGCGUGUCACAUGAAUCUUAUAAAAUCACUUUUUAUUCCCUCCACACCUAAAGGGAAACUCCAGUUUGCACCCUUUUUUAUGUAAAAUAAAAGAUCUCUCCACCUUG